GCUAAUGUAGUUUGUAAUCUAGCCUAUGAAUAUAUCCAAUUCAUUUUCUAUAUUUGAGAUUUAAAACAUUAGAAAUUACGCAGGAAACUAAUCAAAUUAAAAGGUGUUGAACAUCAAAUUUGCAAGUUCAAUUUUUUUUUGAAUGAGUUUAAUUAGGUUGUCAAGAGACAAACUAUUAUAAACGAAUUACAUUAAGGUAUUUGUAUUCCAGAGGCAUUACAACUAACUUUUCUAUCCAAAACCAAGUAACAAGAAAAAUAUAGGUGAUUUUCUAAACAUAUUGAGAGGUUAUUACAGUUGGUCUAGGUGUUAUUCCUAACUUCAAUAAAUGAAUGGUGGUCUAACAAUAUGAACUUGUUAGCCCUGAAUUUAUGCAAUGUAAAGCUAAGAAAAGAUGAUGUAUUUUUUUUUUUACAAUUAGCUAUACUUUUUUUUUUUUUGAGUCUGAGCAAGCUUAGACUGUUGAAAUAUGCCAUGGUAGUGAAAUUAGUUCCAA
rnacentral:lncRNA from 1 species